GAAGGAUUAGGUGGUCUCGUUCCUGCGCUCAAGUUUGGUUCGGAGAUGAAGGCUACGCCCGCUGAUAAACUACACCGACUCUGAUGAUUGCCUGUGAAGGAGGAGCCUUCACCGCUGACGCGCUACAUCGACUCUGAUAAAGACUCGUGUGUGUUUCCGCUAGAAAAACGAUGUAAUAGGCUUGUUGACCAAGAGUUGUAAAGUAAAUGUGUUGUAACCUUGUUUUUCCACGAUGCAUGACUGUGAUAACAA
rnacentral:lncRNA from 1 species